rnacentral:rRNA from 1 species
GACGAACGCUGGCGGCGUGCUUAACACAUGCAAGUCGAACGAUGAAGCAAAGAAUUGAAGCUUCGGCAGAAAUUCAUUUCGGAUUAGUGGCAGACGGGUGAGUAACGCGUGAGCAACCUACCUCUUACAAAGGGAUAGCCUCGGGAAACCGGGAUUAAUACCAUAUAACAUUGCGACGAAGCAUUUCGAUGCAAUCAAAGCUACGGCGGUAAGAGAUGGGCUCGCGUCCCAUUAACCAGAUGGUGAGGUAACGGCUCACCAUAGUAACGAUGGGUAACCGGCCUGAGAGGGUGAACGGUCACACUGGAACUGAGACACGGUCCAGAUUCCUACGGGAAGCAGCAGUGGGGAAUAUUGCACAAUGGAGGGAACUCUGAUGCAGCGACGCCGCGUGAGUGAUGAAGGAAUUCGUUUCGUAAAACUCUGUUCUAUGGGAAGAAAAGGACUGUACCAUAGGAGAAAGCUCCGGCUAAAUACGUG